rnacentral:rRNA from 1 species
AGUGGCGGACGGGUGAGUAACACGUAAGAAUUUGCCUUUAGGAGGGGGACAACAACUAGAAAUGGUUGCUAAUACCCCAUAUGCUUUCGAGUGAAAUGGAUUUUUCCGCCUAGAGAGAAGCUUGCGGCUGAUUAGCUUGUUGGUGAGGUAAUGGCUCACCAAGGCGACGAUCAGUAUCUGGUUUGAGAGGACGAUCAGACACACUGGAACUGAGACACGGUCCAGACUCCUACGGGAGGCAGCAGUGGGGAAUUUUCCGCAAUGGGCGAAAGCCUGACGGAGCAAUACCGCGUGAGGGAUGACGGCCUAUGGGUUGUAAACCUCUUUUUUCAGGGAGGAAUCAAUGACGUGUACCUGAAGAAUAAGCAUCGGCUAACUCCGUGCCAGCAGCCGCGGUAAGACGGGGGAUGCAAGUGUUAUCCGGAAUCACUGGGCGUAAAGCGUCUGUAGGUGGUCCAAUAAGUCAACUGUUAAAUCUUGAGGCUCAACCUCGAAAUCGCAGUCGAAACUAUUAGACUAGAGUAUAGUAGGGGUAAAGGGAAUUUCCAGUGGAGCGGUGAAAUGCGUAGAGAUUGGAAGGAACACCGAUGGCGAAGGCACUUUACUGGGCUAUUACUAACACUCAGAGACGAAAGCUAGGGUAGCAAAUGGGAUUAGAUACCCCAGUAGUCCUAGCCGUAAACAAUGGAUACUAGAUGUU